GGUGGCGCUGGCGGAAUGCGCCGCCGCCCGGGGGUUGCGGGUGCCCGACGACGUGUCGUUGGUGGCCCUGGGCGAUCCGACGCGUCCCGCCGCCACC
rnacentral:tRNA from 1 species